rnacentral:rRNA from 1 species
UGGAAGUAAAAGUCGUAACAAGGUUUCCGUAGGUGAACCUGCGGAAGGAUCAUUACCGAGUUGAUUCGGGCUCCGUCCCGAUCCUCCCACCCUUUGUAUACCUACCUCUGUUGCUUUGGCGGGCCGCGGUCUUCCGCGGCCGCCCCCCGAUUUUGGGGGGUGGCUAGUGCCCGCCAGAGGACUAUCAAACUCCAGUCAGUAAACGUUGCAGUCUGAAAAAAAUAUUAAAUAAACUAAAACUUUCAACAACGGAUCUCUUGGUUCUGGCAUCGAUGAAGAACGCAGCGAAAUGCGAUAAGUAAUGUGAAUUGCAGAAUUCAGUGAAUCAUCGAAUCUUUGAACGCACAUUGCGCCCCUUGGUAUUCCGGGGGGCAUGCCUGUUCGAGCGUCAUUUCAACCCUCAAGCUCUGCUUGGUAUUGGGCACCGUCCUUUGCGGGCGCGCCUCAAAGACCUCGGCGGUGGCGUCUUGCCUCAAGCGUAGUAGAAUACACCUCGCUUCGGAGCGUAAGGCGUCGCCCGCCGGACGAACCUUCUGAACUUUUCUCAAGGUUGACCUCGGAUCAGUAGGGAUACCCGCUGAACUUAAGCAUAUCAAUAAGCGGAGGA